rnacentral:rRNA from 1 species
GACAGAGGUGCCGAGCGUUAGGCGGAAUCACUGGGCUUAAAGCGUGUGUAGGCGGGUCGUUAAGUACCUUGUGAAAUCCCACGGCUUAACCGUGGAACUGCUCGGUAUACUGGCGAUCUUGAGCCACUUAGGGGUCAGCGGAACAAAUGGUGGAGCGGUGAAAUGCGUUGAUAUCGAUAGGAACUCCGGUGGCGAAGGCGGCAUACUGGAUCACAUCUGACGCUGAGGCGCGAAAGCCAGGGGAGCAAACGGG